rnacentral:rRNA from 1 species
AUGGGUGGCCUGAGUAGUAAGAGUUAUAGUCUUGAAACUCAAAGAAUUUGGCGGUGUUUUAGUCCUUUCAGAGGAAUCUGCCCUAUAAUUGAUAUUACACGAUUUUUUGUACUUAGCUUGGUUGAUCAGUUUAUAUACCGCCGUCGUAAGAUUAUCUUGUGGAGAGUGAAAAAUUUCUUUAUUUAUUAAGUUAACUAUGUCAGGUCAAGGUGUAGUUUAUGGUUAAGUAGAGGUGGAUUACAAUAAAUUUAUUUAUUACGGAUGAUUUAAUUUAAAAUUAAUUUAAAGGUGGAUUUGAUUGUAAAUUAGUUGAUAUUAAUUUUUUGAUUUUGGCUCUAAAACGUGCACACAUCGCCCGUCGCUCUCGUUUUAAGAUGAG